rnacentral:rRNA from 1 species
UACGUAGGGUGCGAGCGUUAAUCGGAAUUACUGGGCGUAAAGCGUGCGUAGGUGGUUUGUUAAGUCUGAUGUGAAAGCCCUGGGCUCAACCUGGGAAUGGCACUGGAUACUGGCAAGCUAGAGUGCGGUAGAGGAUAGUGGAAUUCCUGGUGUAGCAGUGAAAUGCGUAGAGAUCAGGAGGAACAUCCGUGGCGAAGGCGACUGUCUGGACCAGCACUGACACUGAGGCACGAAAGCGUGGGGAGCAAACAGG